rnacentral:rRNA from 1 species
AACGAACGCUGGCGGCAUGCCUAACACAUGCAAGUCGAACGAGACCUUCGGGUCUAGUGGCGCACGGGUGCGUAACGCGUGGGAAUCUGCCCUUGGGUUCGGAAUAACAGUUGGAAACGACUGCUAAUACCGGAUGAUGACGUAAGUCCAAAGAUUUAUCGCCCAAGGAUGAGCCCGCGUAGGAUUAGCUAGUUGGUGAGGUAAAGGCUCACCAAGGCGGCGAUCCUUAGCUGGUCUGAGAGGAUGAUCAGCCACACUGGGGCUGAGACACGGCCCAGACUCCUACGGGAGGCAGCAGUGGGGAAUAUUGGACAAUGGGCGAAAGCCUGAUCCAGCAAUGCCGCGUGAGUGAUGAAGGCCUUAGGGUUGUAAAGCUCUUUUACCCGGGAUGAUAAUGACAGUACCGGGAGAAUAAGCUCCGGCUAACUCCGUG